GUCACGCUGUAAACGAUGUCGAUUUGGAGGUUGUUCCCUGAGGAGUGGCUUCCGGAGCUAACGCGUUAAAUCGACCGCUGGGGAGUACGGCCGCAAGGUUAAAACUCAAAUGAAUUGACGGGGGCCCGCACAAGCGGUGGAGCAUGUGGUUUAAUUCGAUGCAACGCGAAGAACCUUACCUACUCUUGACAUCCAGAGAAUUUAGCAGAGAUGCUUUAGUGCCUUCGGGAACUCUGAGACAGGUGCUGCAUGGCUGUCGUCAGCUCGUGUUGUGAAAUGUUGGGUUAAGUCCCGCAACGAGCGCAACCCUUAUCCUUUGUUGCCAGCACAUUAUGGUGGGAACUCAAAGGAGACUGCCGGUGAUAAACCGGAGGAAGGUGGGGAUGACGUCAAGUCAUCAUGGCCCUUACGAGUAGGGCUACACACGUGCUACAAUGGCGUAUACAAAGAGAAGCGACCUCGCGAGAGCAAGCGGAACUCAUAAAGUACGUCGUAGUCCGGAUUGGAGUCUGCAACUCGACUCCAUGAAGUCGGAAUCGCUAGUAAUCGUAGAUCAGAAUGCUACGGUGAAUACGUUCCCGGGCCUUGUACACACCGCCCGUCACACCAUGGGAGUGGGUUGCAAAAGAAGUAGGUAGCUUAACCUUCGGGAGGGCGCUUACCACUUUGUGAUUCAUGACUGGGGUGAAGUCGUAACAAGGUAACCA
rnacentral:rRNA from 1 species